ACGCGGGGCCGUGACUGGCGCUGCACAGGUGGACCACCACCGGGGAGCGGCCCGCACCACCCCGCCGGGCGCCUGGGCACCCACC
rfam:Geodermatophilus pulveris strain DSM 46839 genome assembly, contig: Ga0131106_104